UACGUAGGUGGCGAGCGUUGUCCGGAUUUACUGGGCGUAAAGAGCGCGCAGGCGGUCGUCCAAGUCGCGUGUGAAAGCCCCCGGCUCAACUGGGGAGGGUCACGCGAUACUGAUCGACUCGAAGGCAGGAGAGGGUAGUGGAAUUCCCGGUGUAGUGGUGGAAUGCGCAGAUAUCAGGAGGAACACCGAUGGCGAAGGCAGAUCUCUGGGCCGUAACUGACGCUGAGGAGUGAAAGCAUGGGGAGCGAACAGG
rnacentral:rRNA from 1 species